rnacentral:rRNA from 1 species
CAGCCGCCACGGUAAUACGAAGGGGGCUAGCGUUGCUCGGAAUCACUGGGCGUAAAGGGUGCGUAGGCGGGUCUUUAAGUCAGGGGUGAAAUCCUGGAGCUCAACUCCAGAACUGCCUUUGAUACUGAAGAUCUUGAGUUCGGGAGAGGUGAGUGGAACUGCGAGUGUAGAGGUGAAAUUCGUAGAUAUUCGCAAGAACACCAGUGGCGGAGGCGGCUCACUGGCCCGAUACUGACGCUGAGGCACGAAAGCGUGGGGAGCAAACAGGAUUAGAUACCCCCGUAGUCCCUGUCUCUUAUAC